rnacentral:rRNA from 1 species
AAGAUUAAGCCAUGCAUGUCUAAGUAUAAGCAAUUAUACAGCGAAACUGCGAAUGGCUCAUUAUAUAAGUUAUCGUUUAUUUGAUAGUGCCCUACUACUUGGAUAACCGUGGUAAUUCUAGAGCUAAUACAUGCUAAAAAUCCCGACUUCGGAAGGGAUGUAUUUAUUAGAUUAAAAACCAAUGCCCUCUGGGCUCUUUGGUGAUUCAUGAUAACUUCUCGAAUCGCACGGCCUUGCGCCGGCGAUGGCUCAUUCAAAUUUCUUCCCUAUCAACUUUCGAUGUUUGGGUAGUGGCCAAACAUGGUUGCAACGGGUAACGGAGGGUUAGGGCUCGACCCCGGAGAAGGAGCCUGAGAAACGGCUGCUACAUCCAAGGAAGGCAGCAGGCGCGCAAAUUACCCAAUCCCGAUUCGGGGAGGUAGUGACAAUAAAUACUGAUACAGGGCUCUUUCGGGUCUUGUAAUCGGAAUGAGUACAAUUUAAAUCCCUUAACGAGGAACAAUUGGAGGGCAAGUCUGGUGCCAGCAGCCGCGGUAAUUCCAGCUCCAAUAGCGUAUAUUAAAGUUGUUGUGGUUAAAAAGCUCGUAGUUGAACCUUGGGCCUGGCUGGCCGGUCCGCCUCACCGCGAGUACUGGCUCGGCCGGGUCUUUCCCUCUGUGGAACCCCAUGCCCUUCACUGGGCGUGGCGGGGAAACAGGACUUUUACUUUGAAAAAAUUAGAGUGCUCCAGGCAGGCCUAUGCUCGAAUACAUUAGCAUGGAAUAAUAAAAUAGGAUGUGUGGUUCUAUUUUGUUGGUUUCUAGGACCGCCAUAAUGAUUAAUAGGGACAGUCGGGGGCAUCAGUAUUCAAUUGUCAGAGGUGAAAUUCUUGGAUUUAUUGAAGACUAACUACUGCGAAAGCAUUUGCCAAGGAUGUUUUCAUUAAUCAGGAACGAAAGUUAGGGGAUCGAAAACGAUCAGAUACCGUUGUAGUCUUAACCAUAAACUAUGCCGACUAGGGAUCGGACGAUGUUAUUUUUUGACUCGUUCGGCACCUUACGAUAAAUCAAAGUGCUUGGGCUCCAGGGGGAGUAUGGUCGCAAGGCUGAAA